CCCCUUUCAGGAUGGCACCUGGAGAGUUUCCAGUUUUCUACCAAUCUUGGUUACGAGAAGGAGAGUCAAGCAGAGGCCUAUCCAUUCCAUUCCUAGCUUGGCCAGUGGCUAGCGAGUGGAAGGCAAUCUGUUACAAGU